CAAACGACUCUCGGCAACGGAUAUCUCGGCUCACGCAUCGAUGAAGAACGUAGCAAAAUGCGAUACUUGGUGUGAAUUGCAGAAUCCCGUGAACCAUCGAGUUUUUGAACGCAAGUUGCGCCCGAGGCCAUCCGGCCGAGGGCACGUCUGCCUGGGCGUCACGC
rnacentral:rRNA from 1 species